rnacentral:rRNA from 1 species
AACGAACGCUGGCGGCAGGCCUAACACAUGCAAGUCGAGCGAAGCCUUCGGGCUUAGCGGCGGACGGGUGAGUAACGCGUGGGAACGUGCCCUUUGGUACGGAAUAGCCCCGGGAAACUGGGAGUAAUACCGUAUGUGGUCGAGAGACGAAAGAUUUAUCGCCAAAGGAUCGGCCCGCGUUGGAUUAGGUAGUUGGUGGGGUAAUGGCCUACCAAGCCGACGAUCCAUAGCUGGUUUGCGAGGAUGAUCAGCCACACUGGGACGGAGACCCGGCCCAGACUCGUACGGGAGGCAGCAGUGGGGAAUCUUAGACAAUGGGGGAAACCCUGAUCUAGCCAUGCCGCGUGAUCGAUGAAGGCCUUAGGGUUGUAAAGAUCUUUCAGUGGGGAAGAUAAUGACUGUACCCACAGAAGAAGCCCCGGCUAACUCCGUGCCAGCAGCCGCAGUAACAC